rnacentral:rRNA from 1 species
GACGAACGCUGGCGGCGUGCUUAACACAUGCAAGUCGAACGAUGACGACCGAGCUUGCUCGGUCUGAUUAGUGGCGAACGGGUGAGUAACACGUGAGCAACCUGCCCUUCACUCUGGGAUAACCUCGGGAAAUCGGGGCUAAUACCGGAUAUGAGCUCCUGUCGCAUGGCGGGUGUUGGAAAGUUUUUCGGUGAAGGAUGGGCUCGCGGCCUAUCAGUUUGUUGGUGAGGUAGUGGCUCACCAAGGCGAUGACGGGUAGCCGGGCUGAGAGGGCGACCGGCCACGCUGGGACUGAGACACGGCCCAGACUCCUACGGGAGGCAGCAGUGGGGAAUAUUGCACAAUGGGCGAAAGCCUGAUGCAGCGACGCCGCGUGAGGGAUGACGGCCUUCGGGUUGUAAACCUCUUUCAGCAGGGAAGAAGCGAAAGUGACGGUACCUGCAGAAGAAGCGCCGGCUAACCACGUG